GAUGAACGCUGGCGGCGUGCCUAAUACAUGCAGGUCGAGCGAACAGACGAGGAGCUUGCUCCUCUGACGUUAGCGGCGGACGGGUGAGUAACACGUGGAUAACCUACCUAUAAGACUGGGAUAACUUCGGGAAACCGGAGCUAAUACCGGAUAAUAUAUUGAACCGCAUGGUUCAAUAGUGAAAGACGGUUUUGCUGUCACUUAUAGAUGGAUCCGCGCCGCAUUAGCUAGUUGGUAAGGUAACGGCUUACCAAGGCGACGAUGCGUAGCCGACCUGAGAGGGUGAUCGGCCACACUGGAACUGAGACACGGUCCAGACUCCUACGGGAGGCAGCAGUAGGGAAUCUUCCGCAAUGGGCGAAAGCCUGACGGAGCAACGCCGCGUGAGUGAUGAAGGUCUUCGGAUCGUAUAACUCUGUUAUUAGGGAAGAACAAAUGUGUAAGUAACUAUGCACGUCUUGACGGUACCUAAUCAGAAAGCCACGGCUAACUACGUG
rnacentral:rRNA from 1 species